rnacentral:rRNA from 1 species
GAUGAACGCUGGCGGCGUGCCUAAUACAUGCAAGUCGAGCGAACAGAUGAGGAGCUUGCUCCUCUGACGUUAGCGGCGGACGGGUGAGUAACACGUGGAUAACCUACCUAUAAGACUGGGAUAACUUCGGGAAACCGGAGCUAAUACCGGAUAAUAUAUUGAACCGCAUGGUUCAAUAGUGAAAGACGGUUUUGCUGUCACUUAUAGAUGGAUCCGCGCCGCAUUAGCUAGUUGGUAAGGUAACGGCUUACCAAGGCAACGAUGCGUAGCCGACCUGAGAGGGUGAUCGGCCACACUGGAACUGAGACACGGUCCAGACUCCUACGGGAGGCAGCAGUAGGGAAUCUUCCGCAAUGGGCGAAAGCCUGACGGAGCAACGCCGCGUGAGUGAUGAAGGUCUUCGGACCGUAAAACUCUGUUAUUAGGGAAGAACAAAUGUGUAAGUAACUAUGCACGUCUUGACGGUACCUAAUCAGAAAGCCACGGCUAACUACGUG